GCUUCUUCCAGCAUCAGAGUGACACUGAAUCUUCCCAAAGGAAACAUUGGAUUCAGGGCCUUUCAGGAAUUUUUACUGAAUCCCAGGGAAUUUUUCCAGUGUCUCUGUGAAGCUCAGUGCCAUUACCAGCAUCACAGUGGUGCUCAGGAUUUUCUUGGUGUUUAAUUGAGUGUUAGAGCCUUCCCAAGUAUCAUACUGAGGCCUAGAGCCUAUGCUAAUCUUUCAGUGGGUUUUAGGAUGCUUCACAAUAUCUAAUAAUGCUUAAAUUUUUUCCCCAGUAUUCUUGCAAAAUAUUGGCCUUCACUAGUAUCUCAGUGGGGAUUAGUUCCUUGCCUAGUGUGUCAUUGAAACUCAGGAAUAUUCACAUUGUCAUAGUGUUGCUCAGGGCCUACCCACUCUGUCAGUGGUACUCAGGGCUAUUUCAUGUUUCUCAGUGUAAGCUCAGGGCUUUCCCCAGAGUCUCAUUCUGGCUCAGUGCUUAUCUCAAUGGCUUAUAGGACCUCAGAGUAUUUUCUAGGGUCUUUUUUCAGAUCUCAGGUAUGAUUGGGUCUCAGAUUUUCCCCCAGUUCUUCUGUGAGACUAAAAGCCUUAGUACUUCUCAGUGAGGUUUUGGGCCACCACCAGGUCUAAAUGGGUUUGUGGACCUUUCCCUGAUUCCCCUUGUUUUUUCUGCUCAACAAUUAAACUCAAAGUUUUUCCAUAUUCUUUAUUGGGACUCAUUACCUUCCAUAGUUAUCAGUAGUUCUCAGGACUAUAUCCAGGAUUUUGCUGUGAUUCAGGGCUUACCAUAGUAUUUCAGAGGUACUCAAAUGCUAUUUAGGAUUUUGGGUGAUUUAAAGGCCUUCAAAAGUGUCUCUUGGCAUUCAGGCCUUCACUGGUAUCUAACUAGGGUUUAGAGCUUUUCCCAUUGUGUCACUGGAAUUCAGGGCUUUCCCAGGUCACUAAUGAGGCUCAUGACCUCUGGUACUGAUUUAGUGGAUCGUGGAGCCUUGUGUUAUGUUAUGUUCUAGAUAAAUCACUGGAGGAGGCUUGAAGGAUGACAUGGACAUUUAUUAACUGGC
rnacentral:lncRNA from 1 species